UUGAGCUGAAGAAGAGAAUUCUGGAUGUUAUACUUUCUCAUGAGAAACUUGAGUGGAUAACAGUGUUUUGGAGUUUCUAUUCUUCUAAAUUGAAACUAAAUUCCAUUUCUGUUUUCCUCACAGGGCUGGUGGACGAAGCCAUUGAUACCAAAUCUCUGUUGGAUGCUUCAGAAGAAGCAAUUAAAAAAGACCUGGACAAGUGCAAGGUAGCUAUGGCCAACAUUCAGCCUCAGAUGCUGGUUGCUGGGGCAACCAGCAUUGCUCGUCGGGCCAACCGGAUCCUGCUGGUGGCUAAGAGGGAGGUGGAGAAUUCCGAGGAUCCCAAGUUCCGUGAGGCUGUGAAAGCUGCCUCUGAUGAAUUGAGCAAAACCAUCUCCCCGAUGGUGAUGGAUGCAAAAGCUGUGGCUGGAAACAUUUCUGACCCUGGACUGCAAAAGAGCUUCCUGGACUCAGGAUAUCGGAUCCUGGGAGCUGUGGCCAAGGUCAGAGAAGCCUUCCAACCUCAGGAGCCUGACUUCCCGCCGCCUCCACCAGACCUUGAACAACUCCGACUAAC
rnacentral:sRNA from 1 species